rnacentral:rRNA from 1 species
GACGAACGCUGGCGGCGUGCUUAACACAUGCAAGUCGAACGAAGAGCGAUGGAAGCUUGCUUCUAUCAAUCUUAGUGGCGAACGGGUGAGUAACGCGUAAUCAACCUGCCCUUCAGAGGGGGACAACAGUUGGAAACGACUGCUAAUACCGCGUACGAUCUAAUCUCGGCAUCGAGGAUAGAUGAAAGGUGGCCUCUACAUGUAAGCUAUCACUGAAGGAGGGGAUUGCGUCUGAUUAGCUAGUUGGAGGGGUAACGGCCCACCAAGGCGAUGAUCAGUAGCCGGUCUGAGAGGAUGAACGGCCACAUUGGGACUGAGACACGGCCCAGACUCCUACGGGAGGCAGCAGUGGGGAAUCUUCCGCAAUGGACGAAAGUCUGACGGAGCAACGCCGCGUGAGUGAUGACGGCCUUCGGGUUGUAAAGCUCUGUUAAUCGGGACGAAAGGCCUUCUUGCGAAUAGUGAGAAGGAUUGACGGUACCGGAAUAGAAAGCCACGGCUAACUACGUG